AUACGGAGGGUGCAAGCGUUACUCGGAAUCACUGGGCGUAAAGCGCGCGCAGGCGGCUAUUUAAGUUGGAUGUGAAAGCCUACGGCUCAACCGUAGAACUGCAUCCAAAACUAUUUAGCUAGAGUGUGGGAGAGGAAGAUGGAAUUAGUUGUGUAGGGGUAAAAUCCGUAGAGAUAACUAGGAAUACCAAAAGCGAAGGCAAUCUUCUGGAACACUACUGACGCUAAGGCGCGAAAGCGUGGGGAGCAAACAGGAUUAGAUACCCUUGUAGUCC
rnacentral:rRNA from 1 species